rnacentral:rRNA from 1 species
AAAUUGAAGAGUUUGAUCAUGGCUCAGAUUGAACGCUGGCGGCAGGCCUAACACAUGCAAGUCGAACGGUAGCACAGAGAGCUUGCUCUCGGGUGACGAGUGGCGGACGGGUGAGUAAUGUCUGGGAAACUGCCUGAUGGAGGGGGAUAACUACUGGAAACGGUAGCUAAUACCGCAUAACGUCGCAAGACCAAAGAGGGGGACCUUCGGGCCUCUUGCCAUCAGAUGUGCCCAGAUGGGAUUAGCUAGUAGGUGGGGUAACGGCUCACCUAGGCGACGAUCCCUAGCUGGUCUGAGAGGAUGACCAGCCACACUGGAACUGAGACACGGUCCAGACUCCUACGGGAGGCAGCAGUGGGGAAUAUUGCACAAUGGGCGCAAGCCUGAUGCAGCCAUGCCGCGUGUAUGAAGAAGGCCUUCGGGUUGUAAAGUACUUUCAGCGGGGAGGAAGGUGUUGUGGUUAAUAACCACAGCAAUUGACGUUACCCGCAGAAGAAGCACCGGCUAACUCCGUGCCAGCAGCCGCGGUAAUACGGAGGGUGCAAGCGUUAAUCGGAAUUACUGGGCGUAAAGCGCACGCAGGCGGUCUGUCAAGUCGGAUGUGAAAUCCCCGGGCUCAACCUGGGAACUGCAUUCGAAACUGGCAGGCUAGAGUCUUGUAGAGGGGGGUAGAAUUCCAGGUGUAGCGGUGAAAUGCGUAGAGAUCUGGAGGAAUACCGGUGGCGAAGGCGGCCCCCUGGACAAAGACUGACGCUCAGGUGCGAAAGCGUGGGGAGCAAACAGGAUUAGAUACCCUGGUAGUCCACGCCGUAAACGAUGUCGACUUGGAGGUUGUGCCCUUGAGGCGUGGCUUCCGGAGCUAACGCGUUAAGUCGACCGCCUGGGGAGUACGGCCGCAAGGUUAAAACUCAAAUGAAUUGACGGGGGCCCGCACAAGCGGUGGAGCAUGUGGUUUAAUUCGAUGCAACGCGAAGAACCUUACCUACUCUUGACAUCCAGAGAACUUUCCAGAGAUGGAUUGGUGCCUUCGGGAACUCUGAGACAGGUGCUGCAUGGCUGUCGUCAGCUCGUGUUGUGAAAUGUUGGGUUAAGUCCCGCAACGAGCGCAACCCUUAUCCUUUGUUGCCAGCGGUCCGGCCGGGAACUCAAAGGAGACUGCCAGUGAUAAACUGGAGGAAGGUGGGGAUGACGUCAAGUCAUCAUGGCCCUUACGAGUAGGGCUACACACGUGCUACAAUGGCGCAUACAAAGAGAAGCGACCUCGCGAGAGCAAGCGGACCUCAUAAAGUGCGUCGUAGUCCGGAUUGGAGUCUGCAACUCGACUCCAUGAAGUCGGAAUCGCUAGUAAUCGUAGAUCAGAAUGCUACGGUGAAUACGUUCCCGGGCCUUGUACACACCGCCCGUCACACCAUGGGAGUGGGUUGCAAAAGAAGUAGGUAGCUUAACCUUCGGGAGGGCGCUUACCACUUUGUGAUUCAUGACUGGGGUGAAGUCGUAACAAGGUAACCGUAGGGGAACCUGCGGUUGGAUCACCUCCUUA